rnacentral:rRNA from 1 species
GUGGGGAAUCUUGCACAAUGGAGGCAACUCUGAUGCAGCGACGCCGCGUGAGCGAUGAAGCCCUUCGGGGUGUAAAGCUCUUUCGGCAGGAACGAUAAUGACGGUACCUGAAGAAGAAGCUGCGGCUAACUACGUGCCAGCAGCCGCGGUAAUACGUAGGCAGCGAGCGUUGUUCGGAAUUACUGGGCGUAAAGAGUGUGUAGGCGGUGCUCUAAGUUCGGUGUGAAAUCUCCCGGCUUAACUGGGAGGGUGCGCCGGAAACUGGAGUGCUCGAGCGUGGGAGAGGAAAGCGGAAUUCCUGGUGUAGCGGUGAAAUGCGUAGAUAUCAGGAGGAACACCUGUGGUGUAGACGGCUUUCUGGACCAUAGCUGACGCUGAGACACGAAAGCGUGGGUAGCAAACAGG